UACGAGGGGUGCAAGCGUUGUUCGGAAUUAUUGGGCGUAAAGGGUUCGUAGGCGGUUUUGUUUGUCUAGGGUGAAAUCCCAUGGCUUAACUGUGGAAGUGCCCUAGAAACGGUAAGACUAGAGUCCUAGAGGGGUUAGUGGAAUUCCCGGUGUAGCGGUGAAAUGCGUAGAGAUCGGGAGGAACACCAGCGGCGAAGGCGGCAAACUGGAUAGGCACUGACACUCAACAGCGAAAGCGUGGGGAGCAAACAGG
rnacentral:rRNA from 1 species